UAUUCUGAUGACAAACUUACCCAGCUCGCUUUGAUUUAUCAUGAAGAGAACUGUUCCAAAUCCAACGCAAACUAAUUAAUUGCUGAUU
rnacentral:snoRNA from 1 species